UACGUAGGGUGCAAGCGUUGUCCGGAAUUAUUGGGCGUAAAGAGCUCGUAGGUGGUUCGGUAAGUCGGGUGUUAAACCCCCAGGCUCAACCUGGGGACGCCACUCGAUACUGCUGUGACUAGAGUCCGGUAGGGGAGCGUGGAAUUCCUGGUGUAGCGGUGAAAUGCGCAGAUAUCAGGAGGAACACCAGCGGCGAAGGCGGCGCUCUGGGCCGGUACUGACACUGAGGAGCGAAAGCGUGGGUAGCAAACAGG
rnacentral:rRNA from 1 species